UUUUUUGGGUUUUUUUUUUCCCCCUACCAUUUCCUUGUCACCCAUACAUAGUACAUUGCACUCAGUUCAGCAUGUGAGAAACUCUAGGAUAAUUCCAUAUAGUAAUAAUUGGUUAGCUGUGGGGAGAUGGUGAUUCUGGUGACUGCAGAAUUCCACCUAUGGUAUCUCAUCACUAUAAAGAAAAAAGUACACUGGGAGGAAAGAGCUCUCCUUGAAUCUAGGUGUGGAAACAGAUGUAAUAACACUUUAAAAGCAGACAAAAUGUGUUCUUCAUAUGCCAAGUUUCAUAUAUCUAACAUUUGCAUUUUAAAAUUUUGAAGUUGUACCUUCUAUUUCCUAAACUUAUGACACCUCAGUAAAAACAGAUCUCUGUAGCCAGUUCCUUCACAUAGUUCCAAUACAGAAGUAGUGUUCUGCAGAUGCCCAGGGAAGAUGCAGACCCACGGUAUUGCUGGGAACCAGCCUGUCACAGCUGAAACACAAUAGUGCAAAAACCCGUCAGCCGGCUAAGCAAACCCAGCCCAGUACCUCUGUAGGGUUCCCCUAAUUUUAGCACAUUCAUAAUUGCAGUCAACUAUUGUUCUCUCUUUAGUAAAGAUUAUAUUGGAAUCCAUCUGUAGAUAAAGAACUUCUUGAUACCGUUUUAACUAUUCACCCAUUUUCAUAUGGCCUGGUUUUCACGUCAGGCAGGUAUGUUCACAUGUCUGAGUCCAAAAUGCAAGGUGGCUUUGUGUUAUUUCUUUAGAAAACAGUAAAAGUCAUAAAAGAAGCCUUGGUUUUCAAAGCAGAAACAUUGGAUUUGUAUUUUAUUUUAAAUAAAAUGAAUGCAUGCAGGUGGUUGUGUAAGUCAGUGCAGGGUUUGUUCAGGCAGGGUUUGUGGUUUCCUAGCCCACCUGUUUUGCCUGCAGAGCAGCAAAGAGAGCACGGUUUGUGUUAGCAAUCAUAAAUCCUGUUCCUGUCUUCUCUCCUGGCAGACUGCUAGCGACGCGGCUGUAAGGUGAAACCCGGGCUGGAUGCAGCCGUAAGGGAGGGAGGGAAUGGCAGAGCUUCCCCUUGCAGAGCCCGAGGCACCGUGUGACGAGAGCGGGCGUCUCUCGGUCCCUCCGCCUCCCAGCCGUCCUGGGGUCACGCUGCUCGAUCUUUAGGGUAGCCGAACACUACGUGGUGCUGCGAAGUGCGAUCAGGGGCGUUGAUCUGCGCUGGCUCUGAAAGCGGAGAUGCUGCUGUAGCUGCCUUAGCUGCUGGCCCGCUGUAGCGGUGGGUGUCCGCCAGCAGAGGGUGGCUCCGCGACCGCUUACCUAUUGCUGUAAUGUUUAAACACUACGGCCUGAAUAGUGAGCGUGACGGCCUCGGUGCUCCCUUUGGUGCCGAAUACUCCAUCUUUAGUUAGUAAUUACAAAAAAGAAGUACCUAGCAAAGAUUUUUGUUUCAGCUUUCCCUCGCUGAUUUGUUUUGGAUUUUUCUACCUCUUCCAGGGUUUCACACAGUGUGAGCGAAACAAAUUUGUGCCUGGUGGAGACAGAAAGGGGGAAAACUCAAAAGGAGAAGCCAAAAUUUCUGCUGUCAGGAAGAAAAUGGAGACAGAGAAAAUCUAAGAAGAUUUUAUUUGAGCAACCUACUAAUGUAUCUGCUUGCUAAUGAGUUCUGCUGUAAAUCACCAGCUCAUCAAUCUGCAAUUCCAGCAUUUCCUGCAUUUUGACCUCAUGAACAAAACUAGGCUCCGGAUUCAGAACAACCCAGAUGGCUUAGCCCUAAACAGGAGAUAAUCCAAUUAUAAAAAGCUUGUGGUUAUUUGGACAGAGGUCACCAACGUACAGCUCUAAGGGAAAAUAAAAGUGAGGGAAGCUGCCUGACACCUAUGUAACCUGGACAAGGAGUAAUCAGACUGGCAGACGACCGGGACUUGGUUUAUAGUUAAAAGAUUUGCUGGUUUAGCAAUAGCAGGAUGUAACAACACUCAUCAAUCAAUAUGGCUUUGCCGGCAAAACCCCACAGUUGUGAUUUCAACAGCAAAACAUCCUUUGCAGUCCUGGUAUAAACAAGAGAUAGUUAUUAAAGCAAUUUAAAUUGGAUCCUGUCUCUAGGAGGGUUUACCAGGUCUUCUACUGCAGCUACAUCGGCAAAUCUUCCAGUCAAGGCUGUUCCACACAUCAGCUGCCGGAGAGUGCGAGGCUGAUGACAGCGGAGCUGCUUUGGAAGCUUGAGGAGAGUAUAAAGCUUUGCACCCUCACCCUCUGGGAGGCCCACCGAGAAACACAGCCUGCUUCCUUAAGAGAAUCUUGGCUGGAGAACAAAGGACUUCAGCUCAUACACGGAGGGGUAAUUUGCAUCUCAUUAAACCAAUAUUUAAAAAUCAACACUGCGUUUGUUUCUUCAGUGUUUGUGUUUUUCCUCUUCCAGACAUGUCAAAAAGGAUGCAUUUUCAAAUAGGAUUUUUUUCCCUCACUUUUCCAGAAUGAAAAGCAGCAAGAACAUUUCCAGAUGCCUAGAGAUCCCUCCCCGCCACGGCCACCCAAUCCUUGUUUAGAUAUAAAACAGUUUAAAGGAAUUCUAUAAAACUUCCUAAGAAAAUUAAUCUCAAAACAUAAACACAUCAACACAAGCAUGACU